rnacentral:rRNA from 1 species
AGAGUUUGAUCCUGGCUCAGAUUGAACGCUGGCGGCAUGCCUUACACAUGCAAGUCGAACGGCAGCACGGGGGCAACCCUGGUGGCGAGUGGCGAACGGGUGAGUAAUACAUCGGAACGUGUCCUGUAGUGGGGGAUAGCCCGGCGAAAGCCGGAUUAAUACCGCAUACGAUCUACGGAAGAAAGCGGGGGAUCCUUCGGGACCUCGCGCUAUAGGGGCGGCCGAUGGCAGAUUAGCUAGUUGGUGGGGUAAAGGCCUACCAAGGCGACGAUCUGUAGCUGGUCUGAGAGGACGACCAGCCACACUGGGACUGAGACACGGCCCAGACUCCUACGGGAGGCAGCAGUGGGGAAUUUUGGACAAUGGGGGAAACCCUGAUCCAGCAAUGCCGCGUGUGUGAAGAAGGCCUUCGGGUUGUAAAGCACUUUUGUCCGGAAAGAAAACUUCUGCCCUA